rnacentral:snRNA from 1 species
AUUGCUUCUCGGCCUUUUGGCUAAGAUCAAGUGUAAU